UACGGAGGGUGCAAGCGUUAUCCGGAUUCACUGGGUUUAAAGGGUGCGUAGGCGGAUAGGUAAGUCCGUGGUGAAAUCCUGCAGCUUAACUGCAGAACUGCCAUGGAUACUAUUUAUCUUGAAUAUCGUGGAGGUUAGCGGAAUAUGUCAUGUAGCGGUGAAAUGCUUAGAUAUGACAUAGAACACCCAUUGCGAAGGCAGCUAACUACGCGAUAAUUGACGCUGAUGCACGAAAGCGUGGGGAGUCAAACAGGA
rnacentral:rRNA from 1 species